rnacentral:rRNA from 1 species
GGUUCAGGAUGAACGCUAGCUACAGGCUUAACACAUGCAAGUCGAGGGGCAGCAUGAUCGAAGCUUGCUUUGAUUGAUGGCGACCGGCGCACGGGUGAGUAACGCGUAUCCAACCUUCCCUAUAGUAGAGAAUAGCCCGGCGAAAGUCGGAUUAAUGCUCUAUGUUGUAUUUAGAGGACAUCUGAAGAAUACCAAAGGUUUACCGCUAUAGGAUGGGGAUGCGUCUGAUUAGGUAGUAGGCGGGGUAACGGCCCACCUAGCCGACGAUCAGUAGGGGUUCUGAGAGGAAGGUCCCCCACAUUGGAACUGAGACACGGUCCAAACUCCUACGGGAGGCAGCAGUGAGGAAUAUUGGUCAAUGGACGGAAGUCUGAACCAGCCAAGUAAGCGUGCAGGAUGACGGCCCUAUGGGUUGUAAACUGCUUUUAUAUAGGGAUAAAGUCGGGGACGUGUCCCCGUUUGUAGGUACUAUAUGAAUAAGGACCGGCUAAUUCCGUGCCAGCAGCCGC